rnacentral:rRNA from 1 species
GAUGAACGCUGGCUACAGGCUUAACACAUGCAAGUCGAGGGGAAACGCCGGGGAAGCUUGCUUCCCCGGGCGUCGACCGGCGCACGGGUGAGUAACGCGUAUCCAACCUGCCUCUGACUGAGGGAUAACCCGUCGAAAGUCGGCCUAAUACCUCAUGGCAUCGUCUGCGGGCAUCCAACGACGAUUAAAGAUUUCAUCGGUCAGGGAUGGGGAUGCGUCUGAUUAGCUUGUUGGCGGGGUAACGGCCCACCAAGGCUACGAUCAGUAGGGGUUCUGAGAGGAAGGUCCCCCACAUUGGAACUGAGACACGGUCCAAACUCCUACGGGAGGCAGCAGUGAGGAAUAUUGGUCAAUGGGCGGGAGCCUGAACCAGCCAAGUAGCGUGCAGGAGGACGGCCCUAUGGGUUGUAAACUGCUUUUAUGCGGGGAUAAAGUGAGGGACGUGUCCUUCAUUGCAGGUACCGCAUGAAUAAGGACCGGCUAAUUCCGUG